UACGUAGGGAGCAAGCGUUGUCCGGAAUCAUUGGGCGUAAAGCGCGCGUAGGUGGCUUCGUAAGUCCGUUGUGAAAGUCAAAGGCUCAACCUUUGAAAGCCGAUGGAUACUGCGGAGCUAGAGUACGGAAGAGGCGAGUGGAAUUCCUGGUGUAGCGGUGGAAUGCGCAGAUAUCAGGAGGAACACCAAUAGCGAAGGCAGCUCGCUGGGACGUUACUGACACUGAGGGACGAAAGCUAGGGGAGCGAAUGGG
rnacentral:rRNA from 1 species